CAUAGGUCUAUAACUGAUAAUAAAUAAUAAAAUAUAAAAUUAUCUUAUUAAAAUCGUUUUCCAUGAAAUCUUUUUUCCCUAUUCUGUUUGAUAACAUAUCAUAUUUGUUCUGUAUGAUAAAUUAUUGUAAAUAAGUAUCUUAAACCAGUGUGGAAGCUACAUUAGGGUCAAACCUCAUAUAAGGUCCAUCAUAAUGGCAUCAGAUGAUAAUAACCAAUCCCUUCCGAAGGCUUUUCUAAAAGGUUGUCAUUCUACCUGUUGUACUAUAUUUUGGAGAUACUUAUGUCCUUUCAUAUUUGUAAUUUUGAUCAUAAUAUUCUGCAGCGUUUUAAUCAAUCUGCUUAUCAAAUCGAAAGAAACUGAACUAAAGGAAACAAUUAAUAAUAUGAACAAAGCAAUUGCAAACGAUCCACAUAUAAAUAUAUAUGAAAAUUACGAAGGCGAGAAUAAUAAUUUUGAUGACCAAUUUAAUAAAUUUAUUUAUUAACUCA